ACCCGUCUAGCUGUGGCUGACGAGCGCUGGCCUUUUAAGCCAGUGGUCGUGGGUUCGAUCCCCACGGGGGGUG
rnacentral:tRNA from 1 species